rnacentral:rRNA from 1 species
CCUACGGGCGGCUGCAGUGGGGAAUAUUGGACAAUGGGGGGAACCCUGAUCCAGCCAUGCCGCGUGUGUGAAGAAGGCCCUCGGGUUGUAAAGCACUUUCAGUGAGGAAGAACGCCUGGUGGUUAAUACCCAUCAGGAAAGACAUCACUCACAGAAGAAGCACCGGCUAACUCCGUGCCAGCAGCCGCGGUAAUACGGAGGGUGCGAGCGUUAAUCGGAAUUACUGGGCGUAAAGCGCGCGUAGGUGGCUUGAUAAGCCGGUUGUGAAAGCCCCGGGCUCAACCUGGGAACGGCAUCCGGAACUGUCAAGCUAGAGUGCAAGAGAGGAAGGUAGAAUUCCCGGUGUAGCGGUGAAAUGCGUAGAGAUCGGGAGGAAUACCAGUGGCGAAGGCGGCCUUCUGGACUGACACUGACACUGAGGUGCGAAAGCGUGGGUAGCAAACAGGAUUAGAUACCCCUGUAGUC